CUUUAUCCCUAGAAAUAAAUCAAUAACCUGCCAACAGAAAAUAAAAUAAAACUAAGACAUUUACUUUGUUACUUUCAAGCAAGACUAUGAGAAAAGGAAGCAAAGUCCAUGCACGGUGAGCUUAGGAAGGAGAUGUUGAAUGUCAGUACUUGACCCAGUAGUCAUGACAGAAACACAGAAUGUGGCUGGGUCAAAGCCUGGAGACAGCACUGGUUUGUGGGGUGCAGAACCUGUGUGGCCACUCAGGGGAGUACUCAGGUGGCCCAGGCCUUGCAUCACACCUUGCUCUUGCCAUCUUGACAGUCUUAAUCCUUUCUUAGCAGGGGCCUGGCAUUUUCAUUUCUGUACUGAGACCUGCAAAUUAAGCAGCUGGCAUCUGAAGGAAGCUGGUGCCUGAAGUGAGAUGUCACCUUCCCAGGGCAGUGUAGCUGUACCACAAAUCGCUGGCUUCAGAAAAUUAAAGCUUCUUAUCUCACAGUUCUGGAGCUGGGAAGUCAGAAAUCAAGGGAGUUUCUGUGGAAUGGAUGGUCAGUUGUGGAGCCUCACACUCAUGUAUUCUAAAAAAAGACCUAGGGAUUCAGAUUCUCAUUAGUCUUCUAAAUAUCUGAAUGCUACACUCUUCACUUGGUUUUCACUACAACACCAUCACUUCUUUAGCUGAAUGUUACAUAGCAGAAACAACAGACUGAAAGAAGUUUAAGCAGAAGUGUGGUCACUCACAGGAAGGCGUUGUUUUACAAAACAAGACUGUUCUGUUUCAGAUAAAUUCCUGAACUAGAGGAAGAAGUCCUUCAUCUCAAGGUGUAGCCUCAUAGGCCAUCACCAGUAGCUACAGGGUUAUAGUUUAGGUGAGCUCUCACCAGUAACUGAUGCACUGUCUUGUGAGAGCCUGAACUCAGUCUUGGAGGAACUCUGUGAAGCACCUGAACAGACAAGGGACGAACAUCAGCAACAGGAAGAUGGAGAUCAAGGUCCAGAGCAGAGGGGCAAACCAAGACAUCCAGUUACCCAGGAGAAACUCCAAAACUGGCUGGUUUGGGAUUGCUCCUGGAGUUUGGCAGCUCGGAGACUUUCUGCAGCCUGAUGAAUGAUGCCUGAUCGAUUAACACAGAAAUAGCGCUCUUCCUUGAGAAGGAUACAGAUAUAAUCCAAAAUCAAAGAAAGAAACCAAAGAACUCUUGGGUGACUGGAACCUCUAACCUGAGCCUCCUCUGGUAUCAGAUGUGCUUAGCCACCGGCCAGCUGAUAGCAUCCUGUCAUCUUCUAAGUAGCUGUCAUUAAUCGUCUC
rnacentral:lncRNA from 1 species